UAGCAUAUCAAUAAGCGGAGGAAAAGAAACCAACAGGGAUUGCCCCAGUAACGGCGAGUGAAGCGGCAACAGCUCAAAUUUGAAAUCUGGCCCCCAGGGUCCGAGUUGUAAUUUGCAGAGGAUGAUUUUGGCGAGGUGCCUUCCGAGUUCCCUGGAACGGGACGCCACAGAGGGUGAGAGCCCCGUCUGGUUGGACGCCGAGCCUAUGUAAAUCUCCUUCGACGAGUCGAGUAGUUUGGGAAUGCUGCUCUAAAUGGGAGGUAUAUGUCUUCUAAAGCUAAAUAUUGGCCAGAGACCGAUAGCGCACAAGUAGAGUGAUCGAAAGAUGAAAAGCACUUUGAAAAGAGGGUUAAAUAGUACGUGAAAUUGUUGAAAGGGAAGCGCUCAUGACCAGACUUGGGCCCGGUGAAUCAUCCAGCGUUCUCGCUGGUGCACUUUGCCGGGCACAGGCCAGCAUCAGUUUGCCCUGGGGGAUAAAGGCUUUGGGAAUGUGGCUCCUCCGGGAGUGUUAUAGCCCAUUGCAUAAUAUCCUGGGGCGGACUGAGGUUCGCGCAUCUGCAAGGAUGCUGGCGUAAUGGUCAUCAGCGACCCGUCUUGAAACACGGACCAAGGAGUCGUCUUCGUAUGCGAGUGUUCGGGUGUAAAACCCCUACGCGUAAUGAAAGUGAACGCAGGUGAGAGCUUCGGCGCAUCAUCGACCGAUCCUGAUGUUCUCGGAUGGAUUUGAGUAAGAGCAUACGGGGCCGGACCCGAAAGAAGGUGAACUAUGCCUGUAUAGGGUGAAGCCAGAGGAAACUCUGGUGGAGGCUCGCAGCGGUUCUGACGUGCAAAUCGAUCGUCAAAUAUGGGCAUGGGGGCGAAAGACUAAUCGAACCUUCUAGUAGCUGGGUUCCGCCGAAGUC
rnacentral:rRNA from 1 species